ACGCUCGACACCUACGGGAGGUAGCAGUGGGGAAUAUUGCACAAUGGGGGAAACCCUGAUGCAGCGACGUCGCGUGGAGGAAGAAGGUCUUCGGAUUGUAAACUCCUGUUGUUGGGGAAAAAGAGGAUGGUACCCAACAAGGAAGUGACGGCUAACUACGUGCCAGUAGCCGCGGUAAUCUGAGCGGGCUGGCAAGGC
rnacentral:rRNA from 1 species